CAGCAGCCGCGGUAAUACGUAGGGUGCGAGCGUUAAUCGGAAUUACUGGGCGUAAAGCGUGCGCAGGCGGUUAUAUAAGACAGAUGUGAAAUCCCCGGGCUCAACCCGGGACCUGCAUUUGUGACUGUAUAGCUAGAGUACGGUAGAGGGGGAUGGAAUUCCGCGUGUAGCAGUGAAAUGCGUAGAUAUGCGGAGGAACACCGAUGGCGAAGGCAAUCCCCUGGACCUGUACUGACGCUCAUGCACGAAAGCGUGGGGAGCAAACAGGAUUAGAUACCCCAGUAGUCCCUGUCUCUUAUAC
rnacentral:rRNA from 1 species